rnacentral:rRNA from 1 species
AUAUUAAAGUUGUUGCAGUUAAAAAGCUCGUAGUUGAAUUUCGGGAUCAAUUAAUUGGUCGUGCCUCUGGUACGUACUGAUUUUAUUGGUUUCUCCCUUCUGAAGAACCAUGAUGUCAUUAAUUUGGUGUCGUGGAGAAUCAGGACUGUUACUUUGAAAAAAUUAGAGUGUUUAAAGCAAGCUAACGCUUGAAUACAUUAGCAUGGAAUAAUGAAAUAGGACGUUUGAUCCUAUUUUGUUGGUUUCUAGGAUCGACGUAAUGAUUAAUAGGGAUAGUUGGGGGCAUUAGUAUUCAAUUGUCAGAGGUGAAAUUCUUGGAUUUAUUGAAGACUAACUACUGCGAAAGCAUUUGCCAAGGAUGUUUUCAUUAAUCAAGAACGAAAGUUAGGGGAUCGAAGACGAUCAGAUACCGUCGUAGUCUUAACCAUAAACUAUGCCGACUAGGGAUCGGAUGAUGUUAAUUUUUUAAUGACUCAUUCGGCGCCUUACGGG